rnacentral:rRNA from 1 species
AGGAGUGACCAUAUCAACACUAAUGCAUGGGAUUCCAUCAUAACUCCGAAGUUAAGCGUGCUUGGGCGAGAAUAGUUCUAAGAUGGGCCUGCCUUACGAUUUACAUAGACACGGGCU